CAGGGAGGUCGCGUAAUUUUGAAAACGGGUGUAAUUAAGAGUAUACAUUUCAUUUCAUAUGUGUUCUGAUGUUAUAUACAUUCCGUUUCAGCUUUACUAGAUCAAAAAUCCGCUGAUAAACAGGCGCAAAGCAGAGGUAAAUUCAUAUAUAUAUAUAUAUAUAGAGAGAGAGAGAGAGAGAGAGAGAGAGAGAGAGAGAGAGAGAGAGAGAGAGAGAGAGAGAGAGAGAGAGAGAGAGAGAGAGAGAGAGAGAGAGAGACAGAGAGAGAGAGAGAGAGAGAGAGAGAGAGAGAGAGAGAGAGAGAGAGAGAGAGAGAGAGAGAGAGAGAGAGAGAGAGAGAGAGAGAGAGAGAGAGAGAGAGAGAGAGAGAGAGAGAGGGAGAGAGAGAGAGAGAGAGAGAGAGAGAGAGAGAGAGAGAGAGAGAGAGAGAGAGAGAGAGAGAGAGAUGGCCCAAGAACUGUUCCUUGUGGCACACCUCCGUUUAAAGUUUGCCAAUUUGAUACACAGCGUUGUUUGCGUUCGAAAAGGAAACUUCUAAUCCAGUUUGUAAUUGUCGCUGGUUCCUUCAUUUCAUAUACUUGUACAGUAGGAUGUUGUAGCCUAUAAGAUCGAAAGCUUUCGAAAAAUCGAGCAGAAAAACACUUACAGCGGUUUUUGAUCUAUCAGUUUCAUAUAACAGGUGAUGAACGAAGCUUAAUAGGGCAUGAGUUGUCGAGGAGGUUUUUAAGGAGCCAAAUUGUCGACUAUCAAUCUUUUCCUUUAUAUACUCAAGUAGCCAAUCGGUAACAGACUGUUC